CAACAACUCACCCUCCCCCCCCUCACACCAACUCCUCCCCAUUCUCUACAUCACUCUUCCUUUUUCUUUCUUUCCAUCUCAGAAAAACAAAACAAAAAAUCUUCCGCCGCUAUCAACGACGACGAUGGAGAAUACCACAUCACAUUCAACACCGACGAUGUUGAUCAUGGCCGCCGCCGCCCUCCUCUUGUUUCUUUCCUUCUUCUUGUCCGCCGUCGAAUCCUCAUCGUCGCUAUCAGCUUCUAGUAAUAAACCUACUACAUCACCACCACCACCGGUCCGCCGCCAGCUCUCCGCAACAACCGCCGCGGAUUCUUCCUGCAGCACCGCUGUGUGCAUGGAGCUUCGAAAAAUGAUAAAGUCCCGACGUCAACAAGCUGGCCGCCGUGAGAACAAGAGCUACACCGCCGGCGAGCAUCAAGAUCGUCAAGAACAAGACAGCGGCGGGGGAGGAGGUGGAGAGAUAGACAUGAGGUACGGCGUUGAGAAGCGGUUGGUCCCUUCCGGCCCAAACCCUCUCCACAACUAGCUAGAAGAAUCAAACUCCGAGAAUCUCCUAUUUCCCGGUCGAUGGUAAACGACGUCGUAUUAUUAGCCUCAAACAACACUGUCCAUAUUAUUUGUUUCGUUUCGUACUUUUUUUGUCCUUUUCCUUCCAGAAAUCCGGUGCGGCGUCGUUUAUGAUCAACCGCGGUGAACUGAUCUAGCGUAUAGAGAGUAUUAUGAAGAUCACUUGGUUUCUGAUGCUUCUUCCAUUUCUUGUUUGGCUUCGCAAAGAUAUUAAUUAAAUUGUUUUUUUUAUAUAAUUAAUAUAUUUUUAUCAGGGGGAAAUUCAAAUGGUGGUGGAAUUUAAUUAUUAUUAUUAUUAUUAUAUAUAUAUAUAUGGGUUCAAGAGAUACUCAUGAAUUUCAUUAAUUUGUCGGCUGGCUCCCCCUUAAUUCUCUUUUAUUUUUUGUUGCCCUUAUUCCAUGGUAUGCAUGUGUGCAUUAAAUUUGCCGACUUCAGUAGUAAGUUUGUCACCUUCACCGUAUUUACUUCCUCCUUCAACCUCCCUAUUCUCCGACUCUUUCUGUCCAUCAAGCUAAGUGUACGUACACACAUAUAUACAGUCGCCCAUGCAUGUGGGAGGUGUGUAACCGAUUGAUGGUAAUUUGGUGUCACGAGUUACCACCUAGAUCAUUUGACGGUUAACAUGAUCGUGGCAGUAAGCAUUUCGUGAUGUAUAAUAUAUAAUCGAAGGUUAGCAAAUAUGUAUUCCGUUAGUUCAAAAAUUGAACAAGCAUAUAUCCCACGUGCCAUACUCUUUUCAUUCCACCGUUUAAUUAAUAGUAGUUAGACCACUAAUUAUAGUACUAUAAUAAAUAUUGCACCUGCCACUUGGUGAUUAACCGUUUACCUUAACGACCAUAUGGUCAAAUUUUUAUCAUAUUUCGGUUAUGAUUUGUUUUCCAAUAAUGUAGUUUCGAUGGUUGGGGAUAAUAAGAUGUCAAGAUAGAAAAGCGAGUACAAACUAAGUAUAUAUAUACCAACCCAAGUAUAUUUUUAUUUGAUAGAUAUCUAAUUAAGAGUUUAUCUUACUUUAAAGUACUCUGACACUUUAUUUUGUUCAAUUAGUGAAGAAAUUCAAGCCCUCGAAGAAAGUAGUAAGCUCAACCAAUAUUGCUUCAUCCGACAAGUAGCUGACUAGCUUAGACCACCACCGAGAGACUACUAACUUUGUAUUAUCUUUUACUAUCCACUAGAACCUAACCAGAUACGAAGAGCACAAACGACAAGUAAGAAAAAAAUUUCAAUACAAAUCACAUAAUAUGGGAGGCUAUUUGAAUUCUGAACUAUCAAUUUAAUAACGGCACAAUAUAAAGAAAGAACCACCCUCACAACUCGUUCCACCCCACCCACAUGUUUAUAAUUGCAAAAAGAUUAUGAAUGUUAAUUGUAACACAACUCAUGUCAAUAAGUGGCUAACAAGUAACAAAGAAAAGGAUACAAAAUAUGUGGAAAACAAAAUAAAAAAGUAUUCAAAUCUAAAAUCUUUUUGUAAAAAAAAAAAAGUAUUCAAAUGCUAUUUGAUUCUCACUAGUAGCAGACAGUUGAUCGGAUCUUCCUCUGGGAAAGACCACCAAAAAAAUGGCGCGUCAUCUCCUUCUCUUCCUCCUCAUCGGUCUCCUCCACACUAUCGCCCUCUCGAAAACCCUCAAACGCGACGGUAAAUGACUGAAUUCACCAGAUCUGACCUCCUCCGCCGCGGCGGAUUGAACGGAUAUAAACUGAUUUCAUUUCGAUGCAGUGAAGGCACUGAACGAGAUCAAGUCGUCACUGGGAUGGAGAGUUGUGUACGCCUGGGUAGGAGACGACCCUUGCGGCGGCGACGGCCUCCAGCCUUGGUCCGGCGUCACCUGCUCCACUCAGGGAGAUUACAGAGUCGUCACCGAAUUGUAAAGUUUGUGAACAGUGUAUACCUUAAGUUCUUCCCGCCUAUGGGGUUUGAAUGGUGAGUGAUUGAUGCUUUUGUUUUGUAUUGGUAGGGAAGUGUAUGCAGUGUCGAUUGUCGGUCCAUUUCCUACUGCGGUGACGAAUCUGCUGGAUCUCACCAGAUUGUGAGGCUCCUUCUUGCCUUUGCAUUUUCACUUCAUUGUAUUAGAGUUUAUGUUUUCUGAAUGUUUGAUGCUGAAUAGGGAUUUUCAUAAUAACAAGCUGACAGGGCCGAUCCCUCCUCAAAUUGGGAGGUUGAAGCGUCUCAAGAUACUGUAUAGCCCCUUGCCUUGCUUGAUUGCUUUCUGUUUUUAGCCAGUUUUGAUUGGAUUCAUGGUGUGAAGUUGUGUUUCUAUCUUAGGAAUUUGAGGUGGAACAAGUUGCAAGAUUCACUUCCUCCUGAAAUCGGCGAGCUUAAGAGUUUGACACAUUUGUGAGUUGAUCAUUCAUUCGUUUGACACAAUAAUGUGAUUGUUUACGCCGAUUUCAAGUUGAUGUUAAUAUGGAAAAUGUUGUUGGAAGGUAUUUGAGCUUCAAUAAUUUCAAAGGAGAGAUUCCAAGGGAGCUAGCUAAUCUUCCCGAGCUUCGAUAUCUGUACUUGCAAGAGAAUAGGUUCUCGGGGAGAGUUCCUGCAGAAUUGGGAACGUUGCAGAAUCUUCGCCACUUGUAUGUAGUAACCAUCCCAUCUUCUCUGUUGAUUCUUGCUGUGUUAUGGCCUAGGGGUGUAGCCCUUUUAUCCAGUUUUCGGUAUGUGUAGGGAUGUUGGCAACAAUCAUUUGGUGGGUACUAUAAGAGAACUAAUCCGGAUUGAGGGUUGUUUCCCUGCGCUUCGCAACUUGUAAGUUCAUUUCAUCCUCACCAUGGGGAGCCUGUGAGUUGCUAAUGUGAGAUUAUUUAACGUGACUGAUUGCAUUUGUGUUCUUGUUUCUCUAGCUAUCUGAACAAUAAUUAUUUUACCGGAGGAGUCCCUACGCAGCUAGCUAACUUGACAAACUUAGAAAUCUUGUAAGCUUCCGUGCAUUCUUUCCGUUUUCUUUCUUCUGUAAAUUCCUUGAACAAUUCUCUUUCCAUGUCCGCUCUCCCUCAAAGAUUAUCUUCAAGUUCUAUGUGUCCUGUUUUCUCUUACCUUAAUACGUUUCUGGCAGGCACCUAUCCUAUAACAAGAUGACUGGAGUAAUACCCAUUGGACUUGCUUCCAUCCCGAAGUUGACAUAUCUGUAAGUUUCUUCAACGAGUUUUAGUUCCUUCAUUUCCAUCAGAUUACCGUUUGAGAUCACUGAAUCUAUAACACUUACAGGUACAUCGAAGGAAGCUCGUUCAAGCCUGGCGUAAAUCCAAUAGGCAUGCACAAAGUCUUCGAAGUAUCUGAUGCAGAUUUUGUAGUUUAAAAACCCUUAGCUAAUUUUUUGUACUCUAAUUUAUUUCACACUUUCUCUGUUACAAGCCUAUACAUAGAGAGAGUUGAUGCUGUUAAAUGUAUGGAACACAACCCAAAAUCAUGCUAAAAGCCAUUGUCUAGUAGUUCUCAUCAAUGUUUUGAAUAUAGCACCUGAAGGUUCGGUCGGUUCUAGCAUCGUUCAAUUAGGGUUUAUAAUAGUUUGAACAAUCGAACUGCAUACGGUUAGUUUUAGUGAUACUAUCUUCGGUAUGGUUCUGGAGAUCAUUGUUCUAACUGCUAAUCCUUCAUUCAUUGUGCUAAGCUUUCACAUUUCAUGAUAUGGAACUGUUCGUAAAACCACAAAUUUUACCAUCGUUUUAAAAAAUCGCACCGAAAUGGAUAGUUUGACUUGUCUGAUCUUAAACCGCUCAUAAAAAUAGUCUGGCACGAUCCAGAUAUAUCAAAGUUAAAGACUUUAAUUUGUAACCUAUUAAAUGGUUGAACCACAUUUGAAAAACGUUCUUUCCAACCCAAUCCAAAUUCCUAAAGCAUCCUAAUAUACAAAAUUAAAUGAUAAUAUUCCUUGAAAUAAACUUAAGUGGCCGCUUUAAUUACCAUCCAAUAGUUAAGUAUAGUUAAUUUAUGAUUAGAUAAAUCAAACCAGGCCGUUAUUUCAGUUCUGUUUCUUGUCGGGUUUUCUAAUCACUUGUCCAUUUUUAACUAACCUCCAUUUUCUUUUCAGAUUUUCUCCCUUUCAUUUCUUCUUCUUCUUUCCUCUUCAGGCUUCGUGUUCCUCCACAGAGCCUAACAGGAACGAGGAAUGUGAUCUCAUCAAAAUUAAAUUUUCAGAUUUAUCAAAACUACGAUGUCGAGUUUCAAUGUUCUUCUCCUUCUCUGUUCAAUCAUCCUAUCAAGUUUCUUCACCCUAUCGUACUCUGAUCAUCCUCACUAUGAAGAUGUCCACCAUGCUCACCACAAGAUGAAGGACCCGGAUGAAAUCACCGUCACGAUCAAAUCAGGCGCCGCUGUAUCCCACACUGCCGACGACUACGUCUGCGCAACUCUCGAUUGGUGGAGGAAAGACAAAUGCGAUUACCGACACUGCCCGUGGGGAAACGCUGGAAUUCUUGAUGUGGUAAUGUGUUUGUAACGGAAAUGUCUUUAUUAUUGGGUGAUCUUCGGGAACUGAUUCGUUGAUUUUGGUUUGAAUCAUGCAGGAUCUUAACAAUACACUUUUGGCCAAAGCUAUCAAGGGUAAGUAAAAAGUUCUGGGAUUUUUUUUCAGUCACCUUUAAGAUGUUCGAUGAAAUGCCUCAAUGAGGAAAUAAUUGCCCAUUUUUUAUGUGUUGUGUGUAGCGUUUGAUCCGUUGAGGCUUAGAGUGGGAGGAUCAUUGCAGGAUCUGGUGACUUAUGAAGUUGGAGGAGCUGUCGGUAUUCAUCCCAGCUUCGUGAAGGACAAAGAUGUGAUGCUUGGGUUCAAACCGGGGUCUCUUCCCAUGAAAAGAUGGGACGAGCUUAAUGAAUUCUUCGCUAAAACUAAGUGAGUUGUUCAUAAAUUAGAAAACUAUAAGUAAUUUUCUUUCUCUACCUAACCAAGUUGAUUGCUUUUGUUUGUAGUACCAAAGUAAUUUUUGGUUUGAAUGAGCUCUCUGGCAAGAAAAAGGAAAACCCGUCGACGACUCAAAUGGUAGGAGACUGGGACCCUACUAAUGCUCGCGAUUUCAUGAACUACACUGUUCAAAAGGGAUACAAGAUUGAUGCCUAUGAAUUGGGUACGUCUUCAUCAUAAAAGUAUUAAAAACUAUGAUCUUCUAUUGAUGGGUGAUGACAUUGAUUGAUUGCUCACAUCUUUUUAUAGGAAAUGAGUUGUGUGGUGAUGGAGUAGAUGCUAAGAUAGAUCCGGAGCAGUAUGCAAAAGAUACUAAAGAGCUAAGGAAAGUCUUGAAUGAAUUGUACCCGGAUCCUAAGUCCAGGCCCCAAGUUCUGGCUCCUGGAGGUUUCUUUUUCAAGGAAUGGUUCAAAACCUACCUUCAUGCUUGCGGACCAAACGUUAUCGAUGGCGUAACCCACCAUGUCUACAAUCUUGGAACUGGUAAAAUUUUCGAAAUUGUUAGCUCUUAGAGUGUUUGAUAUCCAAUGGUUGCUUUGGCUGGACCAUUGAUUGUGAAAGUUUGUGCCUUUUCUUUAUCAGUGCUUUAUACCCAUCUGUUUCUGUAUUCAUUAAACACCAACCUUUGAAAAUUUCCAGGUGGUGAUCCGAAGAUAAUAGACAGGAUUCAAGAUCCACAUUUCCUGAGCGAGGUAGUUCAGCUGUACAGGGACGUUCAGGAAGUAGCGGAGCAGUCUGGAUCAGGAGCAUCUCCUUGGGUCGGAGAGGGAGGCGGAGCUUACCUAAGCGGUGGUAUAAAUGUUCAAUCCACUUUCGUUGAUGGAUACUGGUACUUGGAUCAGCUUGGCUUGGCCGCAGUUCACAGCCAUAAGGCCUACUGCAGACAAGCCAUUGUUGGUGGAAACUACGGCUUCCUCAAAAACGACGUCUUUACCCCUAACCCUGAUUACUAUGGGUACCUUAACAUUUCGAUAGUAUCUUCAUAGAUCUUUCAACCUUAUUUGAGCUUUAGACUCACUUUCACAUUCUGCAUUUUGAUAAUCAGUGCACUAUUAUGGCAUCGGUUGAUGGGGACCGGAGUUCUAGCAACCAGCCACAACGGAUCUCCAUUCCUUAGGGCAUAUUCACAUUGCUCUAAGAAGAAGGUAUUGAUAUCUAAAGCCAGUUUUUCAACAUUCAAAUAUCUGCGUCUAACCAUUAGAAAAAUCCUGACAAGACAUUGUUUCUGGGUUUUGCUUUCUUUUUGGGCAGUCUGGAGUUACUCUGAUGCUGAUCAACAUGUCGAAAACUUCGACAUUCCAUAUCAUGAUCACCGACGAAUUGAACAACCACCACAAGGAUUCUGAUUCAAGCCAUCUCAAAGAGGAAAGAGAGGAGUACCAUUUGACACCAGAAGGAGGAAAUAUCACGAGCGAUGUCGUUCUUCUGAACGGAGUUCCGUUGCAGCUUACAGCUUCCGGUGACAUCCCGGAAAUGCCUCCGAAGCUUGCCCCAGCUUCAUCUCCGGUGACAAUGGUUCCUGGCUCUUUUGUUUAUGUAUCCAUUAAGGAUUUCAAGGCCCCUGCCUGCUGAGAAAGACCAGAGCUUUUUGGUCUCUUUUUGGAUUUCUUGGUUCCUUAUAAAAGGUGGUAAAGAAAACUUGAUCUACAAGUUAACUUCCAUUUUGUAACCUAAGGUCUCUGAUGAGGUUAAUCUAAUGGAAUAGAAAAAUAUUCUUUAAUUAAUAUAUAUUAUUGUAUAAAAUUCAUUAAGCAUGCUUACAUUUGUUAUUUAUUGAGUAAUUAUCAAUGAUAAUGUUGGAUAAUCUUUUUCACUUAAAAACCUGAUAUCACUCAAGGUAACUAAAAAUCUUAUCCACCUGAUUCACUUUUACAUUCCGUUUCAACAAAGUCCGACAAAAUCAUAGGCUUAUCCAAAUAACAGAUUUCAUAGCAAACAAUAACAAUAAAAUCUCUUGCUGAGCUAUAUAUAUAUCCACUGUACACACACACUUAGUUUUCUUCAAUACUCUGUGUUUCCUUUUCUGAUUCUACAAUGGCAGCAGCUUUCAGAGCUUUCCUCGUCUACUCACUCUUCCGCUCGACCCUCUCAGUGCUAUGCUCCGCUGACACUUCUAGGAUCACCGUCACGAUACAGUCAGUGAACUCCAUAGCGAAAACCGACAAUGAUUUCAUCUGUGCAACUCUAGAUUGGUGGCCCAAGAACAAGUGUGACUACAACCAGUGCCCUUGGGGACAAACCAGCGCCCUGAAUCUGGUAUAUAUGCCGGCUGUUCAUUUCCUUUUCGGUUGUUCUUAAUUGGGUUUUCGGUUCUGAUUAAUGGGUUUUGGUUGAAAACAUAUUUCAGGAUCUGAAGAACACCAAUCUGGCAACAGCUAUCAAAGGUAGGUAGAAAGUUCAUUGCUUUGAAAGCUUCCUUCAUCAAAGCUGUGAUCUAAUUAAUGUUGGUUUGUAGCUUUCGAUCCGUUGAGGAUUCGGGUUGGGGGGUCGUUGGAGGAUCUGGUGGUUUACAAAGUUGGGAAAGCGAUCAAGAGAUUCCCAAAGUUUAAGAAGCUGAAAGGUGGGAUGUUUGGGUUCAGCAGAGGUACUCUCACCAUGGAUAGAUGGGAUCAGCUCAAUCAGCUUUUCACCAAAACAAAGUAAUUAAGUUCAUACUAAUAAUCCGACUGUUAGUUACCAAAAAUGACGAAUCAUAUUAAAUCUGACGGUUUUUUACGAUUUCGUUGUAGUGCCAAAGUCAUCUUUGGCCUCAAUGCUCUGGUUGGGAAAAGAAAGAAAGAUGAAUCUUCCACUCUCUGGAUCGGAGACUGGAACUCGCAGAAUGCUCGAGAUUUCAUGAACUAUACCGUUCAGAAGGGCUAUAAAAUCGACUCUUACGAACUCGGUAGUUCUCUGAAACGAUUCUUGUACAGAUCAGUUUUUUUCUUCUUGUACUAUCAAACCUCGAACCGUUUAACAUUACUUUUUUGUCAGGAAAUGAGCUGAGCGGCUCGGGGGUUUCUGCUCGGGUGGAACCUGAGCAGUAUGCAAAGGACACAAUCAAAGUCAGGAAAGCUGUAAAUGAAUUAUAUCCAGAUCCCAAUUCCAGGCCUUUAGUAUUGGGUCCUGCCGGAUUCUUCGAUAAGGAAUGGUUCAAGAAGUACCUUCAAGCUGUUGGACCGAACGUUGUCGAUGGCGUAACCCACCACAUUUACAAUCUCGGCGCAGGUAAAAACGUUACGUACCUUCAGGAAUUAGUAUCGGCCUAUCGGGUUCAUAUCAUUAAUUACUGUUUUGCAGGAGUGGAUUCCAAGCUGAUUAAUAAGGUUCAAGAUCCGUUCUUUCUCGACAAAGUGGCUCAGACGUUCAAGGAAGUUCAGGAUAUUGUCGAGCAAUCCGGAACCGCUGCAGCUCCGUGGGUCGGGGAAUCGGGUGGAGCUUUCAACAGCGGUGGAAAGGACGUUUCAAACACUUUCGCUAAUGGGUUCUGGUACUUGGAUCAGCUCGGUAUGACCUCGACUUUCGGCCACAAGGCUUACUGCAGACAAUCCCUUGUUGGUGGAAACUAUGGAUUGCUUAGGAGUGAUAGUUUCACUCCAAAUCCCGACUAUUAUGGGUAACACAAAAAAGAUUCCGUCUUUUUGUUUUGUUUUUAUCUCGUAACUGUUGCUCUGAAUGUUCGGAUCGUUUGCUUUGUGAUAGUGCACUUUUGUGGCAUCGGUUGAUGGGGACCAUAGUGUUGAGAACGAUCCAUGACGGGUCUCCAUACCUGCGGGCAUACUCACAUUGCUCCAAGAAAAAUGUAAAGUAUCUUCAGGAUUUCUGAUAAUCCAAAUCCGGACAGGAAUAUGAUUUCUGAUUAUCUACAUUUUUUUUUAAUUUGUGGCAGUUUGGAGUGACUUUGCUGCUGAUCAACAUGUCGAAUUCGACGACAUUCAACGUUUGGGUGACUAACGAUCUGAACCUUUACCGGACAACGACCGAUUCGACCAUUCUGACAGAGGAUAGGGAAGAGUACCAUCUGACACCUGAAGGUGGGAAUAUUCAGAGCGAUGUUGUGCAGCUGAACGGGACUCCAUUGAAGCUGAGUUGUGGUGAGAUUCCGAUGAUGGAUCCGAAGCUCGUACCGGCUUCGUCCACGGUGACUGUUGCUCCGGAUUCGUUCGUUUAUGUCAACAUCAAGGAUUUCAAGGCACCUGCUUGCUAGAAAAGAAACAGAAGAGGAUAUGCUUUUCUUUUAGUUUAGUAGUUAGGAAAAGCUCAGGAAAAAUUGUUAGAUUAGAUCUAAUCGGCUAUGUAAAGAAUAAUCAUGAUCCAAUUGAAAUCGAAAAAUUGUUAGAGAUUCAAUUCCAUUCUUUUGUGAUGUUGUUGUUUUGGUCUUCUUCUGAAAGUUGGGUAAAGGGCAACUGUGCGAAAAGUUGUGAUUUUAAAAAACCAAAGAAAACAUGUUGGUUUAGUGGAUCGGACAUGUGUUGGGUCUGGUUAGUGAACUUGUGCUUAUGUUCUUAGAUUAGUCGCUAUGCAUGGUUGAACCAUUCUAUCAUGGUUCGAACACAUAGUAAAAUAAGUUAAAAGCAAUAACGGUCACUUAAGUUUGGGUUAGGUGACAUUUUUGUCACUCAAUAUAAGGCAGGUAACAUUUUCGUCACUCUAGUUUGAGGUAGGUAACAUUUCAAUCACUUAACUUUUUGCUUAAGUUUGGGAUAGGUAACAUUUGAGUGACUUUAGUUUGAGGUAAGUAACAUGUCAUUCAACUUUUUGCUCAAAUUUGAGGUAAGUAAUAUUUUCGUCACUCAAUAUAAAGCAUGUAACAUUUCAGUCACUCUAGUUUGAGGUAGGUAACAUUUCAGUCACUCUAGUUUGAGGUAGAUAACAUUUCAGUCACUCAACUUUUUGGUCAAGUUUUACAUUUCAGUCACUCAAUAUAAGGCAGGUGACAUUUCAGCCACUAUAGUUUGAGAUAGGUAGCAUUUCAGUCACUAAACUUUGUUUCUCAACUUCUGUUACAUAUUCCACCCAAAAAGUUAAUGUGACUAAAAGACUCAAUUUCUGUGUUUAUUUCAUCAGACCGAAUAGGAUACAUGGUUGAACCGUCUUAUUAUAGUCGAUAAAAAUUCAACCCCGGCUUGGUAAAAAAAAUGAAAAAAAUCAUCACUAUUUCAUUUAGGAAGAAGAGAAAAAACCAUGCUAACCCUGUUGUUCAAUCAAUAGGAUACCUUACCAUUUCAGGAACCAGUUAAUGUCACACACCAAACAUUCCUGAAACUGAAACCAAAAGCUUUCCAGGCUUUUGCCUCCAUUCUAUCCAAAAACCCAAAGGGCAAAGAAAAUGCUUUCUUUACUUGCUAGUUGAACCUAAUCCAUCCUUUAUGAAAUGUUUUCAGGCUCCAUCUUCAAAUAACCGAACCCCUUCCGUUAGAAAUCGACAGACAAUAAACGGAAUAAGAAAAAAACCACCAUCUCUUUUCGCAACAAAAUCGAUAAAAGAUUGUUUACAAUUCCAUGGGGAUUGAGCAAGCCAUUGCAGUAGCUGCAGCUGCAUUAGCCAUUUCUGUUAUUGAAGAAGUACAAGAAGAGGCAUGGAUUCCGGUUCCAGAGCCAAAAAGGACAUUGCAGGAAGCAGCAUCUCAUCAAUCCUCUGCCACCAAGAGUCAAGGUAUGCAAGGUGGUUUCCAAUCAAGUUCUGGAUCAAUAAGGUAUGUGGAAGGGGCCUCAUCAGAUAGCAAUGGAGAUGAUGGAACAACACCCCGAAAGGUCCUUGUUCCGAUUUCUUCGAUGGCUAGGACUGAUAAUCCUGCUGCAGCAGCAAUGAAGAAAGAUCCAAGCUUUAAUGAAACCCCUACUGUUUCAUCUAUAAAGAAGACACCUUCAUUUGUGGAUAAAACUGUUCCUAAUUCCAUGCCAACUUCCACCAAAGCUGGGAUUCCAUUGAAGAGACCUGAAGCUUCUUCUACUGCAAAACCUGCUGCAACUGGUAAGCCAGCUGGAACCCCAGUAUCUUCUUCCCAAGCAGCAGAUGCAUGGGAGAAAAUGCAGCUGGAGAAGCUGAAAGCGAAGUAUAAGCAGCAGACUGAUCACAUCAUUUCGUGGGAGGACGGGAGGAAGGCUAAAGCAAGGCGUCGACUCGACAGAGCUGAGGUUUGUUUUCUCCAUUACAUCCAAAUAAUUCGAACUAACAGAUUGUCUGAUAACAUGCUUGUUUCUUCUUCGUGUUGGAUGAACUUUUGGGCAGAGUGAAAUGGAGAGGAGCAGGCUGAGAGCAUUGGACAAGUUUCGGGGGGACAUGGAGAUAGUGAAUAAGAUUGCAGGAGGAGCAAAGGCGAAGACAGCUGAGAGGAUGAAGAAGGAAGAGGUUAAAUUGAAGGAGAAAGCUGAUGCUAUCAGAAGAACAAGUGGCAAAUUCCCAGCAAGAAGGCCUUGUUUAUGCAUCUGAUCAUAUUAUGUUUGACUAAUAAUCUGUUGUAAUAUAAUGUUUGUAGCACUUUGUUGUGUUCAGGAAAUGUGUAUGCAUCUGAACAUCCGAAAUUAACUCCAAAUCCUGCCAAAUUCACCUCCAAUUCCGACUUCGAAAACGUAUCCUAUGUCUAUAAUCAGUUCGAAAUGCCAGAUCCAGUAAUGAAAUGAAGAUAAACACCCUUCUGCAUAUAUAUAAUUAAGAACACUCCGACAGAUAAACCAGACACAAAUUACAUUACUACAACAGCAACAACACACCGAUCAUAAAGUUAAUUAAACUCCACAUAAUCCAUACUUAUAUUCCCCCACCAAUCCACCAUACACCUUAAUUAAUUAAGUUAUUAAUCACUUGAAGAACCCUUCAGCCAUCUUAGCAUACCCGCCAAGCCCACCUCCUUCAGAUUUCUCCUCCUUACCGGCGGCGCCUUCCUCGGCCGGCUUGCCGGCUCCCUCAGCGGUCUUCGAACCGCCGCUGUACUGACGGAGAUAUUCCUCCGCCUUGUCGACGUACUGGCCAUAGCCCUUCUCGUCCAGCUUCCCGUACUUGUUGCCGGCCUCGAUCAGGUCCUCCGCCGCGUCGGCCACCUUGGCCUUGUCUAUGCCGUCGGCCGAUUUGCUCUGCAUCGCCGACUGGGCAGCUGCCGCCACCACUUUUGCGCUCGCCAUCAGCUCCGCGUUCGACGGCGCCGCUACCUCUUCCUUCUUGUCGCCGGCCGGGGCCGGGGUCGGUGCUGAGGGGUGUUCAGUUUCCUUGUCGCCACCGGUGGCUCCGGGGAGCUUGGACUCGGCUGCCUUGGUGAUGGAGGAAAGUAGGCCGUCCAUAAUUAAUUCUAGAUGCCAAAGGAGAAAGAAAUUAAAGCAGAGAGAUUUGUGGGAAGUGACUGAGUGAUUGGAGAUUGGAGGAUACGGUGGUUUAUAUAAUGCUUAGGAUAUUUUUGGAUAUCUUGAUUUUUUUUUAUAAAUACGCGAGAUGGACACGUAUUACUUGUGAUAUACGUGUGUACUUGUAUUUUAUACAGUAAUAUACGUGUUGUUUGAGUCUAAAACCUCUCGACGAAUUAAAUCGCUCAUGAAUAGUUGUAUUUGAUGUGAAAUUUUUUUGUUCAUGAUGAGUCGGGUAUGUUUAAUCAAAUAGGUUUGAGUUCGAACAGAAAUAAUUUUGGAUAUAUGCUUUGUUAAUAAAUUUAAUAAUGUAAUGUAUGUUUGCCUCGAAUAUUAUAUAUAUAUAUAUAUAAUUUAUUAUUAUGUNNNNNNNNNNNNNNNNNNNNNNNNNNNNNNNNNNNNNNNNNNNNNNNNNNNNNNNNNNNNNNNNNNNNNUCGAUCGAUUCGUGAUCAGCCCGGCUAAUCACAAAAAAAGCUAUACCAUUUUUACAAAUUAAAAAAAACUAUUAUAUUAGUUAAUAUUGGAGUAGGGAGUGUUUGGCAGGAGUAAGAGUUGCGACGUGGAAGAAUGAUGGCCACAAGAAGUUUAGAAAGGUGGUGACUAUUGAGUAUAAAAGUAUUAUCUUCCUGCUGUUCCAAUAUCUAGAUAUCUUUAUGACAAAAAAUGGGACCAGAAAACACGAUAAUUGUUUUUAUUUGCCGACAAUAACUCUCCAAGUACUCAACUCCGUGAUUAAUACACACCAAUUCAAUUAUAUUUUAAGAAGUUAAUUUGAUGUGCCAAUUAUCGAUACAAAAAAGAGACAUUCUGGUGCACAGUAGAAACUAUUCAGGUGGUUUGUUUAGUUUUGUAAAGAAAUUAUUAUGAACAAAUUCAUGGUUAGAUCCCUUAUGGAUAGUGGAUAGAUCAUUGAGAUUUUUGAAAGAGAAUUUGCAUCAUGUUCCGUGAGUAAUACACAUCGAUAUUUAUCAAUAUAAAAUAAAAAAAUAGAAAGUAAACAUUAUAUUGGUGUUUAUUUUGUGAAUUGUGUUGGAUUAGAAUUAAAAACUUUUAAAUUAUCACACACAUAAUUUUACCAUCAGAAUAAUUCCACUUCAAUACAUUGUAGUUGUUACGGUAAGGUUAAGUAAAAAUGAAAACCAAACUCUUAAUUUUAAUUUAAUCAUAUAGUUAAAGAAUUUCCAAAUAAGAAUAUGAACAAAAAUGUAAACAUCUAAUUCUAGCUAUUAUUCAAUUCCCAAAGCCACGUUACACAACAACACCAUCACAUGACUAACCACAAACAUAAACAGAAAAGAACCAGAUAGAAAAACAACAAGUACAACUGCAACAUAAUUAAUUAACACGCAGAUUUUUCAGCGGCGGGGAAUUAAACUAAAAUAAAAAAACAUGCAUAAUUAUUUUCAAUUUUCAUCCAUUUACUUCUUGGCAGUGGCGUUGUGGAUGGCCUGCUUCCCCUGCUCGACGUAGUGGGUGGUGCCGGCGACGACUGUGUCCUUAACGCCGAUCGCCCCCUCCUUGGUGUUGGCCACGAUCCCCGGGCCGGCCGGUGCAACCACGGCUGGCUUCUUCUCCUCGGCCUUGCCGCCGCCGGGCAUCAUGUCUUGGGCUUUCUUCAAUAGUCCGUCCAUAUCUAGUUAUAAACAAGUAGGAUUCAAAGAGAUGGGAAAUUGGUACGUAAGAGAUUUUAGUGUGUUUUGAUGGGUUUCAUGGGAUAUAUGGUACGUACUAGUUAUAUAGUGGUACAAAUUUUGGGAAGUUUGGAAGAUAUUUUGAUUGGCUUUUGCUGUGUGUGGCUUACAAUUGGCUUGCCGACAUCGAAAUGAACAGGUUCUACGUGAUAGUCUUUACA
rnacentral:lncRNA from 1 species